rnacentral:rRNA from 1 species
AGCAGCCGCGGUAAUUCCAGCUCCAAUAGCGUAUAUUAAAGUUGUUGCAGUUAAAAAGCUCGUAGUUGAAUUUCGAGAUCAAAUUGUUGGUCGUGCCUUGGUACGUACUGACAUUAUUGAUUUCUCCCUUCUGAAGAACCAUGAUGUCAUUAAUUUGGUGUCUUGGGGAAUCAGGACUGUUACUUUGAAAAAAUUAGAGUGUUUAAAGCAGGCUCGCGCUUGAAUACAUUAGUAUGGAAUAAUGAAAUAGGACGUUUAAUUCUAUUUUGUUGGUUUCUAGGAUUGACGUAAUGAUUAAUAGGGAUAGUUGGGGGCAUUAGUAUUCAAUUGUCAGAGGUGAAAUUCUUGGAUUUAUUGAAGACUAACUACUGCGAAAGCAUUUGCCAAGGAUGUUUUCAUUAAUCAAGAACGAAAGUUAGGGGAUCGAAGACGAUCAGAUACCGUCGUAGUCUUAACCAUAAACUAUGCCGACUAGGGAUCGGAUGAUGUUAAUUUUUUAAUGACUCA